rnacentral:lncRNA from 1 species
CUAUUCAGAAAUUCCAGAACUUCAGGGAUUUUGAGGUUAAAAUAUAUCUUCGAUGCUGAGCAUGUCGAUAAAUGUACCUUCUCUAUAUUGAAGUAUUGAAAAAAAACCGAAAUAAUAGGUCAACAAUAUUAUAUAUAAUAAUAGCAUUUUAAUUUAAACUUAUAUGUUUAUUUCGUAACCUUUAAACGUUCGAACUGUCAUUCCAGCAAGAAUUAUGAUUAUAGGAGUGCUCUUCUCUUCCUCGUAAAUAUUCUCCUCGUCAAAAUCUGUUGCAAAUCUAUCCCAUAACGUCGCUGGCAUAGUGGUUCUCCUGCAAAAUAAAUUAUAUUAAUUCAGCAGCAGUAAUGAAGCUAGUCGAAAUAAGAUGAUUUGCAAAUAUGAAUCACUAACUCAAAAUCUUCUAUCUCUAAAUUUCUGAUUGGAGUAAGUGAUUGGCCA